GGACAAGGCCAGCGGGGAUGCCAGUCCACUGCAAGCCUGGACAAACCCAACCAACAAUAUUGACAGCUAUACCUGAAAGCAGGGUGGACUGUUGUUAGAAGCAGAUGGCUGGGAGUGUCCACAAUUACCAGGCAAAAAGUGCUGCAGUGAGUAUUCGUUUUACAGAAAACACUAUGUUGCGACCCACUCUACUGAAGGACGCCCCAAUAGGAGCAGGAGUGGGCGCUGGACUGUAAAUAGUUUUUCUUUGGAUAAGGGAAUGUUGAGUCAUCUAAAUAGCUCUGGAACCACAAACAGGAGUGUGGAGGAUGUGAGUGGAUCAGCACUGGUUCUGGAUGCCACUGAGUUCUCUCAAAGUGCAGGUUUUAAAGGGAGUCGGGUUGUCAGACCGAAAAUGGUCUUCUUUCUUUCUCCAUUCACAGAUGUCUCUGUUUUGCUGUUUCCCAGUAUUAAACAUUUGGUAUUACAAAAUCAGAACUGAAAGCAGCACUCAAUGAAAUAUACUAAUGCUGAUUCCUAAAAACAUGAGUACACUGGAUAGUAUUCAGAAAAAAUAAAUUAAAACGAGGACAAGGUUUGACAAGACCAUGAGUAGCUGUUCAUUUUGAACCAUCACUCUGAACAAAGUGGCCCCUCUCUGUAUUGGCUGUAUAACUUUGCACAUUCUGCUCUGAUCAAUCCAUUCGCUCUUAUUGAUUAAGAGGUGCUUUGAAAAAUCAGCUCCAAACAAAAUCACUCCACUUGUUGCACAGUUUUGCUGCUCAUUUGUGUGAAAUCAGACUUGUAACUGUGGACUUGUGUGAUAGUUUCUUCAUUUUACAUAUGGGCAUCUGCUGCAAUAGUUUGAUGAGUUUUAACGUUUUUUUAUCCAUAAACACUGCAAACUGUUUCAAGAUAGACUUGAUAGGAGUAAUGUACGCACACACUCCUGUCCCAUGGCCACAGACAUUCAACCCACUGUCAUUAGUCGUUACCUAAUAAUUUAUGAUCAUGCACAGACAAUUAGCAAACCACAUAUUGCAUGCGCAGAUAAUCAAUAGUAUGCUACAUUUUUUAACUGAAACUUAAUUUUGUUGUUAGGCACUUUUCGCAGGUAAAAGCUGACAGCUCAUUAUGCAAAUUUUACUGUACUGAUUUGCUGGAAAGUGAGAAGUCUCAUUGAAGGAGCUUUUGUUAUUCAAGGAAAACCUGUAAACUCACCCCCUGUUGUUUAAUGUCUUGAUACCUGGUUUUUUGUUAUUCUGUCCAUGAUUAUUAAAUAUACAGGCUUCAGCCUGGCCACACCCAACCAACAAUAUUGACAGCUACACCUGAAAGCAGCAUAUUAAGGGCAUAACAAGGGCCACAUGGAGAUAAAUCAUCUAGUAAAGAAAUCUGUAAAAGGCCCAGAUUCGGAGAGCCUAGGGAGAAAGGAGUCAUCUGUUCUAUGCUGUAGUGACAGCACUUGGUGUGUCCUGACUGUAAUACAGUGAGACUUUGGAGUUGUGACAAAAAAUAAAAAUAACCUUCCAGAAUCAUUCCCUGUCUGAUCACCAUUGAACCUGGCAUGUGCUGGUGUGCAACAUACUGUUUAUCAUGGAUCAGUCUAGGUUUUCAUUUGUUCAGUCUAUGAAAUCAGGUCUUGGCUCACCAUGUUUGGUCUGAUAUGAUAAAGUGAGACUGCACCGGAAAGUUUCACCAAGUGGCUGUGUGAAACAGAGAGCAAGAGAUCAACUGCAUUGUGAGAACUGUGUAACCCGUGCUCUCAGGGACAUUCUGGUACUCAGCAAUUACAGUAUAAUCAUAUCUUUAUUCGCAUCCUCUGUUUUGCACUGUUGUGUUUUCCUUUUCUAAUUUUUCAUUUAUUUAAAUGUGGAAUACAGCAUUCAUCUCCCUCAAGCCAGUCCACAAACCCAAUUACUACCAGUAAGUUUACUUUAUGAAGUCAGUGUUUUUUGAAUUUACAAUAUAUAAUGUUAUUAGGGGGUGCGGCGCAGCGGGUUUGGCCGGGACCUGCUCUCU